UACGAAGGGGGCGAGCGUUGUUCGGAAUUACUGGGCGUAAAGGGCGCGUAGGCGGCGACCCAAGUCAGAUGUGAAAGUCCUGGGCUUAACCUGGGGACUGCAUUUGAUACUGGGUUGCUUGAAUUCGGGAGAGGAUAGCGGAAUUCCCAGUGUAGAGGUGAAAUUCGUAGAUAUUGGGAAGAACACCGGUGGCGAAGGCGGCUAUCUGGACCGACAUUGACGCUGAGGAGCGAAAGCGUGGGGAGCGAACAGG
rnacentral:rRNA from 1 species